CCUACGGGAGGCAGCGGUGGGGAAUAUUGCACAAUGGGCGAAAGCCUGAUGCAGCGACGCCGCGUGAGGGAUGACGGCCUUCGGGUUGUAAACCUCUUUCAGCAGGGAAGAAGCGAAAGUGACGGUACCUGCAGAAGAAGCGCCGGCUAACUACGUGCCAGCAGCCGCGGUAAUACGUAGGGCGCAAGCGUUGUCCGGAAUUAUUGGGCGUAAAGAGCUCGUAGGCGGCUUGUUGCGUCGGUUGUGAAAGCCCGGGGCUUAACCCCGGGUCUGCAGUCGAUACGGGCAGGCUAGAGUGCGGUAGGGGAGAUCGGAAUUCCUGGUGUAGCGGUGAAAUGCGCAGAUAUCAGGAGGAACACCGGUGGCGAAGGCGGAUCUCUGGGCCAUUACUGACGCUGAGGAGCGAAAGCGUGGGGAGCGAACAGGAUUAGAUACCCUGGUAGUCCACGCCGUAAACGUUGGGAACUAGGUGUUGGCGACAUUCCACGUCGUCGGUGCCGCAGCUAACGCAUUAAGUUCCCCGCCUGGGGAGUACGGCCGCAAGGCUAAAACUCAAAUGAAUUGACCGGNNGAGACGUGCGAGACGACGACGAGGAGAG
rnacentral:rRNA from 1 species